AGAGACAGCAGUAGCCACGGUAAUACGGAGGGAGCUAGCGUUAUUCGGAAUUACUGGGCGUAAAGCGCACGUAGGCGGCUUUGUAAGUUAGAGGUGAAAGCCUGGAGCUCAACUCCAGAAUUGCCUUUAAGACUGCAUCGCUUGAAUCCAGGAGAGGUGAGUGGAAUUCCGAGUGUAGAGGUGAAAUUCGUAGAUAUUCGGAAGAACACUAGUGGCGAAGGCGGCUCACUGGACUGGUAUUGACGCUGAGGUGCGAAAGCGUGGGGAGCAAACAGGAUUAGAUACCCCAGUAGUCCCUGUCUCUUAUAC
rnacentral:rRNA from 1 species